rnacentral:rRNA from 1 species
GAUGAACGCUGGCGGCGUGCCUAAUACAUGCAAGUCGAGCGAACAGACGAGGAGCUUGCUCCUCUGACGUUAGCGGCGGACGGGUGAGUAACACGUGGAUAACCUACCUAUAAGACUGGGAUAACUUCGGGAAACCGGAGCUAAUACCGGAUAAUAUAUUGAACCGCAUGGUUCAAUAGUGAAAGACGGUUUUGCUGUCACUUAUAGAUGGAUCCGCGCCGCAUUAGCUAGUUGGUAAGGUAACGGCUUACCAAGGCGACGAUGCGUAGCCGACCUGAGAGGGUGAUUGGCCACACUGGAACUGAGACACGGUCCAGACUCCUACGGGAGGCAGCAGUAGGGAAUCUUCCGCAAUGGGCGAAAGCCUGACGGAGCAACGCCGCGUGAGUGAUGAAGGUCUUCGGAUCGUAAAACUCUGUUAUUAGGGAAGAACAAAUGUGUAAGUAACUAUGCACGUCUUGACGGUACCUAAUCAGAAAGCCACGGCCAACUACGUG